rnacentral:rRNA from 1 species
GACAGAGGCCCCGAGCGUUAGUCGGAAUUACUGGGCUUAAAGGGUGCGUAGGCGGGCGUGUAAGUGUCUUGUGAAAGCCCCGGGCUCAACCCGGGAACCGCAGGGCACACUGCACGUCUCGAAGUAGCUAGAGGCCGGUAGAACGAUCGGUGGAGCGGUGGAAUGCGUAGAGAUCGAUCGGAAUGCCAAGGGUGAAGACAACCGGCUGGGGCUUACUUGACGCUGAGGCACGAAAGCGUGGGGAUCAAACAGG